UUUUUAAUAUUUUUUUUACAAACAAUUGAGUGACAAUAUAAAUAAUCAUAUUAGAUGAUUAGUAAAAAAAAAUGACAACUAUUUUAUUCUUUAUUUUUAAAUUGUUGAAACAGAUGGCUGAAGUAAAUAAAGAUAUGAUUAGGUAUUUUUUUAGAGCAAUUUAGAAAAAUAAAAUAGGUUCUAAGUUUGGGAAAUAAAAAGAUGAAAACAAAGAGAUUAUGAGAACAUAAAGAAAGUAAUAGCACCCAUAAUUUAUUGAGAAUAUUUUGAAAAUUUUAUAGCAGUCUUAAUCAAAGAUUUUGAUAAUAAAACAUUACAUUGGAGAUAAUAAAAAAUAUUAUGGUUUAAAAAAUUAAUAAGAAUUUAAAAAAAUUAUAGAUUUGAAAUAAAGAAGAAUAUGCUAUUGUAUAUGAGAAUAUUAUAUAUUCACCAAUUUUGAUAUAAUAUUAAAAUUAGAGUCAGGUGAUUGGCUUUCCGUCAAGGAUAUUAAACUAAUCGAGUUCAUUUAAGUCUCUUACUAUUUUUUGUAAAUAUUAAUGAGAUCGUAACCUUACCUACUCUCCGUCAGCCAUCGAGAAUAUACAAAUUUCAGAAUGGGGGAUUUAAGUGGGAUUUUUCCUUGCCCUCCCACUUCCCUCCAAUUCCUUGGAGCUACCCCUUCAAGUAAUCUUAUUACUUUUGUCACGAUCACAGACUCAUACUUCAUUGCGAUAUGACUCUAACCUACUUAAUUUCAAUGCCUCAGAUUACGGUUGACUCAAAAGAUCAAAAUAUGAUUACUUAACCUUGGCUAUUCCUGUAUAAAUCCACAACCUAAGCUAUGAUUCUAUAGCCGGCGUAAAAAAAUGCAAAUAAUGCCAAAUCUGGCAACCAUGCAAAUAAAAUGGGACCAAAUAUUUUUGAUUGGGCCUAACUAUUUAUUUUCUGACCAUCCUUAAAUGAGAGUAGUAGAAUCAUGAUGAAGAAUAUAUAUUUCCGGUGUAGAUGCCUAAAGUAUGGAAAAAUAUUCAAGCUAUGAUACGACGCUCAAUUUUUGGCUUGAUAUCUUAUACUUUUAACAUAUGUUGUUCCGCUAAGAAGAU